GUACUAUGCUAUACUGUACUGUACUCUACUGUAAUAUACUAUACUGUACUGUAUUAUACUAUACUGCACUGUACUAUACUAUACUGUACUGUACUCUACUGUAAUAUACUAUACUGUACUUUAUUAUACUAUACUGCACUGUACUAUACUUAAGCAAUAAGGCACAGGGGGUGUGGUAUAUGGUCAAUAUACUACGGCUAACGGGCGUUCUUAUGCACAACGCAACGCUGAGCGACUGGAUACAGUUUUCGCCGUGGUAUAUAUACCACCAACCCCCGAGGUGCCUUAUUGCUUUCAUAAAUCACAGUCCCUUCACUACACUGUCUGCUCUGAGCUAGGUUCUGUAUCACAGUCCCUUCACUACACUGUCUGCUCUGAGCUAGGUUCUGUAUCACAGUCCCUUCACUACACUGUCUGCUCUGAGCUAGGUUCUGUAUCACAGUCCCUUCACUACACUGUCUGCUCUGAGCUAGGUUCUGUAUCACAGUCCCUUCACUACACUGUCUGCUCUGAGCUAGGUUCUGUAUCACAGUCCCUUCACUACACUGUCUGCUCUGAGCUAGGUUCUGUAUCACAGUCCCUUCACUACACUGUCUGCUCUGAGCUAGGUUCUGUAUCACAGUCCCUUCACUACACUGUCUGCUCUGAGCUAGGUUCUGUAUCAGAGCCCCUUCACUACACUGUCUGCUCUGAGCUAGGUUCUGUAUCAGAGCCCCUUCACUACACCUCAUCUCUUAUCUUCAGUACACUAUCUAGCUAGAGAUCCUGCAUGAACCUGUCAGCUUGAUCUCUCAUUCGAAUAGUGAUGAUGAUGAUGUUGUUGUAAUGGGACAUUUCUGUUAUUUUCU